ACUUCCUUUUCCUUAUUCCUUCCUCAAUCCCCUAUCCACGCCAUCUGUUGACACUACGAGAAAAACUACGCGCGUAUGAAAAUGGCGCGAAGUGUGUAAAAAAAACUAAAAACAUGGUGCCGGUGCAAAAACAAUAAAAUUGUGAUUUGUUGAUCAAUCAGCACAUAUAACUCUCGCCAGUGAGAAAAUUAAAUAGUGCAUCAACGAAAUACAGAGUGAGUCCUAAAACUUAUCCUUUUCCCAGUCCCAAACAUCUAAAUUCAAAACAUAUUUAGUGGUCCGUUUCGAGCGCGAAUAACCUAUGGUAACUAGGGGCAUAUUCGUUAGAAAACUCUAGUUCUACAUUUCAUUUCGCUUUAAUCUUAUCCUAAUAACAAUAUAACUAUUAUUUUAUAAUAUUAUUUUACUAUUUAAAGCAUAAAAUAACAAUAUUUUUUUUAUAAAUCUCAAGUGACGUAGGUAGUUUAAGAAAUUUCUCGGUUGUAAAAAUAGCAUUCAUUUGCAACAUAAUUUUUGUAUUCAAAUUCCAAUUAUAUUUGUAUUGUUACUAUAAUUUACGUAUUCUAUAAUGUCAGAACUCAAAUUAAAACUUCUAACAAGUCAACGUGAAUAUGUUUUUAAGGACAUACAAAUACUUUAUAAUUUAUCACAACAAAUUGCAUCAGAUUCGUCAAAAUUAUCUCAAUUCAAUGUUCGAUACAAACGUCUAGAUGUUUUACGGCAAGAAUAUUUAGAUCUAACUAAUCAAAUAAAUGCGUUAAAACUUGAAAUUAAUCCUAAAGACAAAAUCGAUAUGCAAGUUGUUAAGGCAUUUGACGACAUGUAUUACGCGAUAUCGGAAGCGUCUAACGCCGACCCCGGCAACGCCGGCGCACCCGCGUCGCAUUACGUCUCACCCAAGCCGUUUGGUCAGCAAGUACGUUUACCAAAAAUUAAUUUAAUCAAGUUUGAUGGUAGAAUUGAGCAAUGGCGGACUUUUUAUGAUACAUUUUCGUCGCUUGUACACGAGAAUGAGAAUAUUACAGCAAUUGAGAAAUUUCAUUAUUUAAUAUCGUGUCUAUCGGGUGCUGCUUUAUCGAUUGCCAAAGGGGUACCUGUUACAUCUGAUAAUUAUCAAAUAGUUUUCGAUGCGCUAGUGGGUCGAUUUGAAAAUAAAAGAUUAUUAGCUACAUCUUAUUUAGACAAAAUUAUACAAUUUCAGCAAUUGAAAAGUUCUAACAUUAAUGAUUUAUUGAUAUUAAAUAAUUUAUUAUACGAAAGUGUCAAUGCCCUCAAGGCAAUAAACAUUCCCAAUCUUGGUGAAUUUAUAUUAUUCUAUUUGGCGUCCCGUACUUUAGACAGUGACACUCGUAAAAGAUUUGAAUCACAGUUACAGGAAAAUUCAAAUAACCUACCUACUAUAAACGACUUACUAACUUUUUUACAAAACUAUGUUAAGAUACUAGAGGUUAGUGAACCAAGCUCGUCAUCUGUUGUACGUAUACAACAAACUAAUAAACAACUCACAAAUUAUAAGAGUGCACCUCGCAAUGAAUGUUUUUCUAAAAAACCUUAUUUGAAAUCAACAUCAUUGCCCGUUAAUUCAAAUAUAUCUUCAAGUGUCAACACCGGCGCACCGUGUAGCUGUUGUGAACAACAACAUAAUCUAUAUAAGUGUCCUAAAUUUCAAGCUUUAGGCAUACAAGACCGGCUUAAUUUAGUGACAUCAAAAUCUUUAUGUAAAAACUGUUUACGCCCAAAUCAUAACAUUAACAAGUGUUAUUCAAAAUUAAAUUGUUUUACUUGUGGACAACGACAUCAUACGCUUCUCCAUGAGGUCAAUACAGCUGUGAGUGGCAUGGUCACAGUUGACGUACGCCCGGACGAGAUCACACGUAAUCCUACCUUCGAGUCUAGCACUGCAGCCUCCACUAAUGCGUAUGUGGGCUACAGUCGCUCGGUAGUUCUGUUGGGUACUUGUGUAGUUCGCGUUCGUCAUCCUCGCAGUACUAAUCAAUCAUUUCUUGUACGUGCGUUGAUUGAUAGUGGUGCUCAAGAUUGUUUCAUUACCAAGUCAUGUUGUCAACGUUUGGGCUUACCAUUACGUCGCUGUCCAUUAGCCGUAGUUGGUCUAGGUCAAAAUGCUGUACAUCACGUGACUGGAGUUACUUCUUGCACUGUACUUUCUCGUACUUCAGAAAAUCCUCAUUUCAACAUUAAUCCUAUCGUAGUAAAUACUAUAACGAGUAAAAUGCCUGCUACAAACUUACCUACUAAUCUUCGUGAAUCUUUUAAACAUCUGGUCCUCGCUGAUGAGAAUUUUGAUAAACCAUCAAAUGUAGAUUUACUACUCGGCGCAGAACUGUUCCAUAGUAUUUAUGACGGUCAACGCGUUCAGCCCAGUCAUGAUCUACCGGUAGCUUUACACAGCGUAUUUGGUUGGGUCAUCACCGGCAAACUUGAUACAAACCAUUUACCUCCGCCAACAAUAUCUUCUCUCUUAGCAUCCACACGUUCUCUAGACGAGGGACUCAAGCGAUUCUGGGAGAUCGAAGAACCUCCAAGUCAGGUUAUCUUAAACCCUGAAGAUAUUAAAUGUGAACAAAUGUACUCAAAUCUAACGUAUCGUAAUCCCGACGGCAGAUAUGUUGUACCUAUGCUUCUCAAAGAACCUAUCAGUCAACUAGGCGAUUCUUUCAACCAAUCUUUCUCUCGGCUCGUUAACCUAGAACGACGCCUUAAUCGAAACUUAGAGUUGAAAAAAGAGUACACCGCCUUUAUGCGCGAAUACAAGCUGUUAGGGCAUAUGGAGCCUAGCGCUGACUCGAAUAAAAUCGGGCAGUAUAUAAUUCCUCAUCAUUGUGUCAUUCGCCCGGAAAGUACAACGACUAAACUUAGGGUUGUAUUCGAUGCUAGCGCCAAAACUACCAAUGGCAAAUCUCUUAACGAUCUUGUAUAUACUGGUCCAAAACUUCAAAACGAUAUAGGAGAUAUACUUACAAAAUUUCGGUUGCAUGCUGUUGUUUUUACUGCCGACAUCAGUAAGAUGUAUCGAAACAUCGAACUUAGGCCAGAAGACCGAAAAUGGCAGCAUAUACUUUGGCGCGAUUCUCCUUCUGAUCCUGUAACUGAGUAUGAGCUGAAAACGGUAACUUACGGGGUUACGAGUUCCCCUUAUCUGGCAAUACGUACUCUGCAUCAAUUAGCCUCUGACUACGAAAAAGAGUGGCCCUUAGCUGCUGCUAGUCUUCGUCAUGAUACUUUCAUGGAUGACAUCACUGUUGGUGCUACAUCUAUUGAAACUGCACUGAAACAUAAAGAAGAGUUAAUACAAAUGUUAGCGCGUGCUAAGUUCGAAUUACGUAAAUGGAGUAGCAACUCACCUGAAUUCCUCACCCAGAUACCAACGGAACAUUGUCAGGUUCCAAAAACAUUUUGUGAUGAAAAACAAAAACAAAGUAUCAAGAUUCUUGGAGUCCGAUGGGAUCCAGCUGAUGAUAACUUCACUUAUGCUUUAUCAGAACUCACUCCAGGGAAUACAAAACGUUCUAUUCUAUCAAACGUCGCCAGAAUUUAUGAUCCACUCGGAUGGUUAGCCCCAAUGGUUCUAAUAGCUAAGCUUACCUUACAAGAACUAUGGCGCCUUCAGCUUGACUGGGAUGAAACUGUACCGUCAGAUAUGUUGUCUCAGUGGCAUCUAUUUACAUCCGAGUUUCACUACCUGAAGGAUAUUAAAAUUCCUCGACUAAUUGUACCUCUUCAUUCAAAAUCAUACGAACUUGUAGGUUUUUGUGAUGGAUCUACCAAGGCUUAUGGUUGUUCUGUGUACUUACGUAUCACUACCGACACUGAAAUUACAUCUCACUUGCUUAUUGCAAAAUCUAAAGUAGCUCCAUUAAAAGUUCUUACUGUCAACCGAUUGGAGCUAUGUAGUGCUGUAUUGCUAGCAAAAAUAUUGAAGCAUAUUAGUAAUUUACUAAAUGAAACUCAAACCUCAAACAUAACAAUUUCAAAGAUAUGGGCAUUCACUGAUAGCUCAACUGUACUAUCAUGGCUGCAAACAGCACCUCAUCGUCUUAAAACUUUCGUUGCACACCGUGUCGUGAAGCUGUUAGAUAAUUUGUCUGUCGAAAAUUGGUAUCACGUGUCAACGUAUGAUAAUCCAGCAGAUUACUGCAGUCGUGGUCUUACCUGCUCUCAACUUGUGGCUUGUUCCACUUGGUGGACAGGACCCAAAUGGAUAGUCUCGAAUUCUUCUACAUGGCCGGUGUCUGAAAAAUUACCUUAUUUAAAGGAAUUAGCCGAAGUAAAAUCCAGCUUCUUGUGCCAUGUUCUUUUGGAAUCUUCUAACAAUAGUAUUCUAACUCAGUUAAUUGAGAAGUACUCUUCAUUGUUGAGGCUACAACGCAUCUUUGCCUGGUGUCGACGUUUUAUUGCAAACGCAACUCGUCCGCCAGAAAAACGUAUCAAAUCUUUUUUAACUUUUACAGAACUAGAAGACUCUCUCUUUACCAUUGUAAAACAUGUUCAGUCUCUUACAUUCGCUAGCGAAAUUAGUGCGAUUAAAAGUGGAAAAUCUUGUUCUCGCACUAUAAUAAAGUUAGCGCCAAUUCUCGAUCAACGAGGUCUGUUACGAGUGGGGGGACGAUUAAAAAAUGCAAACUUGCCACAAUCAGCUAUAAAUCCGUUAUUGUUGCCAAAAACCUCCCAUCUUUCUCGGAUCAUUAUUGACUAUUACCAUCGUUUAUUUCUACACUGUGGACCUCGUGCGUUACAAUCUUUAAUUCAAAGAAAAUUUUGGAUCUUAGGUAUUCGUAAUCUUAUUAGAUCGCGGCUUUCAAAAUGCGUCACCUGUUUCAAAGUAAAUCCUAUACCCCUUCAACCUGUAAUGGGUGAUCUUCCCUCUAUUCGAGUUCAAGCAGCUCGUUGCUUUCAAAAUAUAGGGGUCGAUUUUGCAGGACCUUUUAUCGUGAAAGAAAGUCGCAGACGAAAUGCCAAAACAUAUAAAACUUAUGCCUGUAUAUUUGUCUGUCUAGCGGUUAAGGCAAUUCACAUUGAAUUGGUAACUGAGCUCUCCACCUCGGCCUUUAUUGCUGCUCUAGAUAGGUUUGUGUCCCGUCGUGGUUUAUGUAGUACCAUUAUUUCGGAUUGUGGUUCAAAUUUCGUGGGUGCUAAACGCUAUCUUAGCGAGAUGCAUCAAUUAAUGCUAAGCAAGAAUCUUGAAGUUGAGACUAUUUUGAUAAACCGAGGAAUCCAAUGGAAACUAAACCCGCCGACCGGAAGUCAUUUUGGAGGUAUAUUUGAAAGUGGGGUAAAAUCGAUGAAGUAUCACCUGAAACGUGUAAUCGGAAGUCAAAUCCUAACUUUUGAAGAGUUAACAACGAUUCUUACCAAAAUUGAAGCUAUUCUCAAUUCACGACCAUUAAUUUCGGUAUUUUCUGACCCUAACGAGGUAGACGUAUUGACACCUGGGCAUUUCUUGACAGGGAGCCCUCUAGUGAGCUUACCCGAGCCUCUCCUUGCUGAUAUACAAAUGUCAGUUCGUUCUAGAUGGCAGAUGCUACAAAAGCUAACUCAAAGUUUUUGGCGUGUCUGGCAUUUGGAUUAUCUUCAUACAUUACAGCAACGCGCUAAAUGGUUUAAACAACACGGUAACGUUAAGCUGGGAGAUAUAGUUAUGAUCGUGGAUCAAAACCUUCCACCGUUGGAAUGGCGUAUCGGCAGAAUUAGCAUAAUUCAUCCCGGUUCUGAUGGCGUAGUACGGGUUGUCACUGUCCAAACAGCUCACGGUCUGCUGCGCCGACCAGUUACAAAGUUGUGUCCUUUGCCAAUUCACGAAAACUUGUAACCUUUAUAAUUUACUUUAUACUAUUAUCUAAUUUAAUAUAAUAGUUUAUUUAUUCACAUAAUUAUUAUUUUUAGCUUAAUUAUUACUUUAUUCUUAGCAUAUUAUUAUCUCUAAUUCACUAGGUACCUUAGUUACCACAGCUUAUUAUCUUGUUAAAAUCUUUUGAAAUCCUCCAAUGAUUUCAAGUGGGGGGAAAUGUUGGGACUUCCUUUUCCUUAUUCCUUCCUCAAUCCCCUAUCCACGCCAUCUGUUGACACUACGAGAAAAACUACGCGCGUAUGAAAAUGGCGCGAAGUGUGUAAAAAAAACUAAAAACAUGGUGCCGGUGCAAAAACAAUAAAAUUGUGAUUUGUUGAUCAAUCAGCACAUAUAACUCUCGCCAGUGAGAAAAUUAAAUAGUGCAUCAACGAAAUACAGAGAGGAGGCGAUACCCCAGUGAAUGAACACACACCAUUAACAUCAAAUAGCUUUACGAUUCCCGCGAACGAGAGUGUUUCGACAACGCCAGCUAACCAAACUAACCAAACUCUGAACGAUAUAGAAGAUCUUACAGAAUCUGUUUACCCAAUCAACGGCACUACAAAUGACACAGGCUCUUUCAAUUAUACCGAGAGCAUCACAUGACGACCAAAUAGGGAUCACAUACAACAAAUCAACGA